rnacentral:lncRNA from 1 species
UGAAGCGCUUAAAUCUUUCAUGUUUUUGGACAACACAGUCUAUAUGUUUUCUGCAUAAUGUAUGAUUUCUUUAAACUAUAGUAUUAAAAAUAAUUUCAAAUUGUAAUGAAAAGUCAUUUGGCUUUAAAACCACCCAGGAAGAGGAUAUAAAAUGCAUAUACCAAAAGACUGUGAUGCGGCUUCCAGUGCUUUUCUGAUAUAGAUCAUAAUAAUUUAGAAAGGCUUUGUCAGGCUUUCUGAAUACAUCAAAUACUUCUUCAUUUCUGUGUCAGCUAUGAAGCUCUAACUAUAGUGGCUUCUCUAGCAGGUAUUCUCCGCGCAACUGUGCCAAAUCGUUCUGAGGACACCCAGAUUCUCCUCCUUCUCAAAACAGACAUUCCUGACUGGGUCCUAGGGCAUGGAGAGAGGCGUUGGACCCCCACUGCCCUCUGGGUUCUCCGAGAACCAGGACUUGUUGCUCCGGCGGGAACUCGCGCGGAUCCACCGGCUCGGCACAUCCUGCCUACAAAUACGGCGGCGUGUGCUAGGAGCCGGGCCCCAGGCCGAGUCGUCCGUGCCGCAGCGGAGAGCUCCGACCGGCGCGGCCCCACCAUCCGCUGACCUUCGCCCGGUCCGGCCUGGAGCCCGGCCGCGGCCUCCCUAGGCCUCUCUAGGCCGGGCACCGGUUCAGCGAGGACCGGAAGCGCCCGCCGCCCGCCCUUCCGCCUCCAGGCCGCGGGCGCCAGGCCGGGGGCGGGCCGUGGACGCCCUGGGAGUGCCCCGGGGGCCGCCUUCUUCCCCGCAAGCCCGGAGCGGGCGUCGCUCCCGUCCCCGCCUCAUCUUCAGUUCCCCCGGCGCUUCCGCCGCCGCGUGGGUAGAACAGACCCGAGCCGGUAGCCAGGCCUGCGGCCCCUCGAACACUAGCCACGUCUGCCCCGCCGGGCCUAGCACGGAGAGAGGCCCUGGGGCUUGGCGGCCGGGGCCGGGAGAGGUCGCGCGGCCGAGGACACCCGAGGGCCUGGGCUGCUUCCCCGCCCUUCCCCGCCCCUCCCCUCGGCCCUGGAAUCAAUAGUGGCCGCUGACUUUUCACGACAAUUGCAGCUGUCUAAUUCAUCAGCGAAUAAUUAAAUCAGAGGCCGCCGGGCCUGCCUGGAGUCGGAGACGAGGGGUCGCUCCUCUCAAAUCCUGUCAAAAUGGGGAGCCAGUGGGCAGCGCGGAGAGCGGACAGGCCUCACCCUGCGCGGAGGCUGCGAGAGCCGCCUGGACCCGGCGCCAUUCCGAGUGUAGGGGGAAGCAAGCCCCCAGGUGUGGGGAGCAAAAGGAAGGAGGAAGGCACAGGCGGGGGCCCCGCCGAGGCUGGACUCCCUGGUCAGCAGGGUCCUCCUGGCCGGUGCGUGGUCCUGGUGCCCGGCGUGUAGCAGCGGCCUUGGGGCCCACAGACAGCAUCCUCGCGCAGACUUCGCCAAGGUUGCGGAACUCCAUCCUUGGGAGGCGCUUUGCCUUUGAGGAAGAUGGAGAGGAGUCGGGAGAAGCGCCUAGAAACCGCAUUGAUUUAGACAUCAAUCCUGGCCGGCUCCCUCCGCCUCCCGAGCUGCGGGGCCGCGCCGCCCCGUCCCCGAGAAGCGGACCUAGGGUCCGCCGGGCUCUGCCGAGCGGGCGAAGGGAGCGGCCUGCCCCGCCACCCCGCGCCCGCGACGUCGACGCCGCAGCCGCCACGCCAACAACGAUUCCUCGUGGCCAACAGGUUUCUCGCAGCCCUCCGAGUCCGUAGCGCCGCCCGCGUCCCUCUUCCAUCCCGGCCGGCGGGACGCCCUCGGAGCUUGUGCUCUCUCGAGGCCGCCGAGCCCACUGAGCCCGGCCGGGGCGCUGGUUCGCGUGGGCCGCGGGGAGUAGGUCCCGCUUCUCCAACGACCACGGCCCCGGCGGCUGCGAAACGGCCACCUCCGACCCUUGAGUCCGCCAGAGUCGCUCUCCCUUCCACGUUUGCAAGCAAAACAUUAGUAAUAGUGACAUCGAGGCACUUUUCCAAACUAAAAUGGUCCUAAAAUAAUCUGAAUGUACUGUUACUUUUGAUCGUGUUACCACAAAAGAUCAGCUCAGAUUCACUUGGUUCUUUUAUUUCUUUGGGAGAUGAUACUCGAGGAAUCUGAAAAAAAUAUGAUUUUUAAAAACGAUCUGAUUCGCAUACCUAUUUCAACCCCUCGGUUGGUUUUGUUAGUUUCCAAAUAGAAAUAUUGCCUUUUGAAAUCGGAGAUAAUAUUUCUCAAAUUUAAAAUCUAGCCAAGUCUUUUUUUUAAUACUCCGUAUGAAAUUUUUUUCCAUGGUAGCUAGACAAUUGAAAUUAUAUGCAAAGAUUUUUUAACUCUCAGAUUUUCAUUGGAAGGGGACGUAAUAGUUUUUGUACUAAUGCCUAAACAAUGUUGGAUUUUCAAUCAAAAAGUAUUUUCACGGCAAAUAAAUGAUAGUUUUAACAGGGUAAUAAAUAAAAGCAACACCCGUGCUUAGUGUCUCAGGGCAACUUGAAAACAGCUCCACUUUCAGGGAGUUAAAUUUGUCCUUUUUACAAUCAACUGCAACUUUUGCCUUCCUUUGGAAAGGACGACAAAAAGAUUUCACGUACAACUUGACCGGAACAAAGGGACAUCAUGCCAGUUUUUCUUUUGUGGGGUGACAACUAAAAGACAGGAAAAGUUUAUUUUAACCAUACUUGAGUUGUACUUUUGGAACCCUCCUUUAAAGAGAAAAUGUGACGGCAGAUCUUACAACUUAAAAAUCGAAGCUAUGGGGCUUUGGGGCAGAAGGGACAGAUAGCGCGAGCAAAACUGAAAGUCGGUGAGGGGAAAUUUUGUCUUCGUUCUCAGACUAAGUUGCCUAUUUAAAAUGAAACUUUCUUCUAGAGCAAAAUCUCCGUUCCCCUAAGAGCUGUGCUUCCCCCACCCCUUCCGCAAAAAGAAGCCCUUGCGUAUUUGCAGGUUCGAAUCCUCAACCUUCCCUCCUUUGAAUUUCAUUUUCCCAAAAGAGUAGAAUUAUUUCUCCCACCAGCUUCUGCAGCCUUAGCAUCCGAAAAAUCGGGUGGGUGGGGCGUUGCAGAAAGGGUCUGCAGUUGGCCUCGAAUUCGGAGGAAGGAAAGUCCCUGGAAGGGACCGCAGUCCCAGCCCCCAGUCCUGGGGACCGGUCCAGAUCAGAGGCCCGGCCACCCACUUCCACCCAAACUCCUCACGGGAGGGGGCUGUGGAAACCCAGAGAGGGCAGGCAGCCGGAGAAGCAAAGAAAUGUACGUGUGUGUGUGUCAGGGAAGUAAGCGGUUCCCGAAGACACAAAACUUCAACAGUCCCCUAUCUGUAUGGGUAGAGGAGGGCGAUCAAGGUCGGCCGCCCUGGUGUUUUUUAAAACUAGACAGGUGGACGCGCUAGCAGCUUAGCUAGGCAGAGCUGGGAUUCCGGUUUCCCCUGCAGACUGACACUCCCUGGAGCAGGUGCCUAAGCUCUUUGGGGUGGGGUCUCCUCCCCUUUCCCCUCUCUCGAGCCUGCCCACUCUCGGCGUCUGGACUGCGGAGGAAAUUGUAGUUUGCUUCCCGCAGCCCUACUCUCCCACCUUCUAAUCCAGGUGCUGGGCUUGGGGCUCGGAGAGCACCUUCCCCCAGCAGGCAGGGCUCCUGUAGCUUCUUUUUCCUUUCCCUAAGAGGCCGGACGAGGGUGAGAACAAGACUAACAACCCCAUAUCUCUCCCUGCCCCCACGCAAAGUAUCUUUUAUCAACAAAAAAGUUAAGGGCGGUCCCCUGCCAGCUCUGCUAACCUGGCGUUUUCAAUUUUAACAAGAUUAACGGAGAAGAAGGAGACAAAAAAGGACGCGUUUGGCCUCACCACCCAGAAAAACAAAAAACUUUCCAAGAUCAAACUGGCAAAUCUGAAAAGUGACGGUGAAUUGUGACAGUGAAUUUCUGAGCUGAGAGGCCAAAGAGAGUUAGUGGGGCCCGGCUUCGGUUUUAGUUUUAUUCUCCCUGGGCUCAGGCAGCCCGAGCUUUCAAACAGAAGAAAACUGAAGCUAAUGAAGAUCUCAAACAGAGCCACAAUUCCGAGGGCCCCUUUUCCGCCACAAGCACCCACUGUCCAUCUGCACGUGUAAUCACAGAGACUUGCCCUGUCUUCAUCACCAGGGGAUCCGAGGAAAGGGGAGAAAAUUCUCUGCCGUGAAAAGGAAGCUUGUGUUAUCACUACUAUUAUUUGUGUAUAGCGACUUAAAAGUUUCCUUGUCCUCUUCAAAUUCCCCUACAAUAUUGAAACAGCAUUUGUUGCCCCAUUCUUACAAACGCUUGAGGCCUUUCUGGAAAACCAUUACCAUUCAAUGGCUAGAAAAUUGCUCUCCUUCCUUUUUUUUUUUUUUUUUUUUAAAAAAAAAAAAAAAAAAAAAAAAAAAAAAAAAAAGGCAGGCGCAGCAGCAGCUAUAACAGACAACAAAAACUUUCUCCCGCAUAAUCCUCGCCCUCAGAAUGACAAAGAAAUGAUAUUGACUUACCCCCGAACGGAUGAUGUGUUUGAUAAGGGGGGGAACUUUUUUUUUUUUUUUUUUGAAGAUUUCUGUUGAGGAGCUGCACAGACAGCUGCAAUUCAUGGGCGACGCUGAUUGCCAGAAACGCUAUGGAUUGGCAUGGGGUCUGCAGCUCACAGAUCCCUGAUCAAUACCCCUACACUCACACGCCAGAUGGUUUGGGAAGGACAAAAAUAAAAUAGUCCAAAUCAACCCACCAUUAUGUUUUUGUGUGUGUGUAUUGCUCUGAUAAACCUAGUUGUAGCAUAAAUGUGUUCUACCCUGACACGAAACCUGACAAGAUUUCGAGCAUUGGGGUAGAAAUUAGCAGCCCUCCUCUACCCUAGAUUUGGGUCGUGGUUACUGUUGUAUAGUAAAAACAAAGAUAUUGGGCCCCUUAUGCAGAUUGGGUUUACUUGUGGUCUGUUUAUCUUUUUCCGUGAAUAAUUUAUAAAGUCUCUCUUUUAAUUGAA